AGCUAAGUGAUUGAUCUGCAAGGAAAAAAGGAUGAACGAAGCCCCGACUACGAACCAAGGGGUCGUGGGUUCGAAUCCUGCCAGCCGCGCCA
rnacentral:tRNA from 1 species